rnacentral:lncRNA from 1 species
AAUACAGUUGUAUGAAAUAAAAAAUUAGAUACCCGAAAUAAUAUAUAAACAUCCAUAUAUUUAUUUUUAUGUGUGUUUGUUUAUAUUUUUUUUAGAACGAUUAAAGAGUCAGGUACAGUUUUUUUAACAAACUUACGUUUAAUAUUUAUUAAAAAUGUGACUAGUAAAACGAAUCCUAAUUUUUCAUCAGCUGAAUUACCAUUAAAUUUAAUAGAAAAACCUAAAUUUGAACAACCAGUGUUUGGAGAAAAUCAUUUAACUGGUAUUAUUAAUCCCUCAAUAAAUAGUCCUAACAGUUUAAGAAGUACAUGUAAAUGGAAUUUAUACUUUUCUAAUGGUCAAUGUACAAGUUUUCUUCAUUAUUUUUUCAAAGCAUAUGAAUCUGCUAAACAUAAUAAACCACUAUGUAGUAUGAAUGAAAUGAAUACUAGUUUUUUUGCAAAUGUAAAUGCAUAUGUUGAUCCUAGUGAUCCAACAUACCUUUACAUUAACGAACCUAUCCCUGAAACACUUUACACUCUAAAAAAUAUGAAUCAAAAUCAAGGUAUAAAAGCAAACAAAAAAAAUAGUGAAGAUAUUCCUGUAUACCAGAGACCUUACAUACCUCAACAAAAUAACAACCCAAAUUACAGCAGUGGUAUGUUGUAUAAUUAUACUCCUAUCCCUAAUAAUGCUAACACUAAUAGUAACAUGCUAUCUAGUCAAAACAAUUACAAUCCGAAUUACUCAUAUGUUGGAAAUAAUGACGUCCCGUUGUACAAUCGUCAAAUGUAUGUAUCAAAUAAUUCUCAAAACUAUGCCUAUGUACCUUCACUAUGUCAUGACAAUCCCAAUACUAAUAUGACAUCACAAAAUUACAAUAUGGGAAGUGAAAAUAAUAGGUCCUUAUAUAAUAAUAACAACGAUAACAAUACAUAUGCUACAAUGUCCAAUUAUAAUCAACAUAAUAACAUGUUAGGAGGUAAUAAUGAUAAUUUAACUAAUAGAAAUGUGUUUAACCAAACCAGUACUUCUACUAAUACUGCUUUAGAUAAUAGAAGUUACAACAGUUGCCCAUACAAACAACAACAACAACAACAAGGAGUGGGUAUGCUAUCAAACAAUAACCAAAGAGUACAAUCUAGUUGUACCCAAGCGAGUAAUCAACAUUAUAACACUGCAUAUAAUGGGCAACUUAACAAUUCGAAUAUAACUCAACCAACUAAUAAGCUAAAUAAUCAGCAGUACGGUCAGCCAAAUAAUCAGCAGUAUAGUCAGCCAAAUAAUCAGCAGUAUGGUCAGCCAAAUAAUCAGCAGUAUGGUCAGCCAAAUAAUCAGCAGUAUGGUCAGCCAAAUAAUCAGCAGUAUGGUCAGCCAAAUAAUCAGCAGUAUGGUCAGCCAAAUAAUCAGCAGUAUGGUCAGCCAAAUAA